rnacentral:lncRNA from 1 species
AAUUGGAAAACUUGACGGAGAGAAAAGCUCCAACGCGUUUGAUCAACUGCAGAAGAUCGUCCUUGGGAUUAUUAGCCAUCGCGAUUUCACGGAGAUUUCAGCUCUGCCUAUACCAAUUGAUCAAAAACGGAUUGAAACCCUCGUUGCUCGCGCUAAAAUUGAAGUUGCAUUUGUAGCAGAAUGAUUUAUUGCAGAGUGGCGAAGGAUAGCAGAUCGAAAGAGAGAAGAGAGACUGCAGAGGGGUCAAUUUGUUAUUUUUGUUAGUUUGGAUAUCUGAAAGAAAAAAAAAGGAAAAGAAAAGGAUUUCUUUCACUAAUAAAUAAAAUAAAAUGAUUUAUAUUUGCCUUUUAAUUAGAAAAAGUUUUGUGAGAUGUUGACCUCAUCGUCGCUACCCUCGCCAAAACUUUCUUUUUCUGUCCCAUUUUAAAUAUCUUAUUUUUUGUUCCCUAAUUUUUUUUGGAAUAUUUUAC